rnacentral:lncRNA from 1 species
AUCUAAUGAGAAUUUUUUAAAAUUUAUUUAAGAAAAAUUCCACUAAUAUUUUCAGAAAUAUCUGUAUAUUGUGGAAUGAAUAUUUUAAAUCAAAUUAGUGUAGAUUAGUAGUCUCAAGUGUGUUGCUCCUAGGGGUGUGUGUUUUUUCCCAUCAUAAUACAUAUCUAUUGUAUGAGGUGCAUGCUACUUUCUCUUACUAAUAAAAGAAUGCGUGCCAUUUUGAUAAAAGAUUUAAAAAAAUUUGGAGAUUGCUGGUCUAGGUAGUCAUAUCAUCCUACCUGGAAAAUGGUAGUGAUAUCCUAUCUGGAAUUUGUGUCCUUUGUCACAAAAUUCUUUUCGUUUUUUUUUUUAGUUUCACCAUUUACCUUUUUCUGGAAUCUCUCUAAGUUUCUGAAUUACUUUUUUCGUCUGAAAUUAUUUCUUGACUCAUGUUCUAUUUACCAUUUCAGAUAUUUAUUUUAUAUAAUUCUAUAUAUCUGCUACUUUUUAAAUCUAUGAUGUGCUUUCUCUCUCU